CAGCGCCGCGGUAAUACGAAGGGGGCUAGCGUUGUUCGGAUUUACUGGGCGUAAAGCGCACGUAGGCGGAUCGAUCAGUCAGGGGUGAAAUCCCAGAGCCCAACUCUGGAACUGCCUUUGAUACUGUCGAUCUGGAGUAUGGAAGAGGUGAGUGGAAUUCCGAGUGUAGAGGUGAAAUUCGUAGAUAUUCGGAGGAACACCAGUGGCGAAGGCGGCUCACUGGUCCAUUACUGACGCUGAGGUGCGAAAGCGUGGGGAGCAAACAGGAUUAGAUACCCGCGUAGUCCCUGUCUCUUAUACC
rnacentral:rRNA from 1 species